rnacentral:rRNA from 1 species
CAAUAGCGUAUAUUAAAGUUGUUGCAGUUAAAAAGCUCGUAGUUGGAUUUCUGGUCGGAAGCUCCUGUCCUCUGAUGAGCGUACAAGUGCGUCCUACCAUCCUUCUGUUAACCUUUAAGGCUUUCGCGGCUUUCUAGGGGCUCAGAUAUUUUACCUUGAGAAAAUUAGAGUGUUUCAGGCAGGCUAGCGCCGGAAUACAUUAGCAUGGAAUAAUGGAAUAGGACCUUUGCCUCUUCUGUUGGUCAUGAGGCUCGAGUAAUGAUUAAUAGGGAUAGUUGGGGGCAUUAGUACUUAACUGUCAGAGGUGAAAUUCUCGGAUUUGUUAAAGACUAACUUAUGCGAAAGCAUUUGCCAAGGAUGUUUUCAUUAA